UCUGCCAGCUCAAGGGACCCACCUGCCAGUACAGGUAUGAGCAUCACCUCCCUGCUACCACUUCCUUCAACUGGGGACAGUGCUGAAGGCUGCCUCACCUCUGCAGCCCCUGCCACCUGGUUCUGAGCCCCAGGCCCCUUGGACCUUAAAGUUGCUGACUGCCAUACCCCACACCUCCCUUCCCUAUAUGUGCCCACAGCUUUUUACCUCACAGCUGUG
rnacentral:lncRNA from 1 species